rnacentral:rRNA from 1 species
AUUGAACGCUGGCGGCAUGCCUUACACAUGCAAGUCGAACGGCAGCGCGGGAGCAAUCCUGGCGGCGAGUGGCGAACGGGUGAGUAAAGCAUCGGAACGUAUCCGGGCGUGGGGGAUAACGUAGCGAAAGUUACGCUAAUACCGCAUAUUCUGUGAGCAGGAAAGUGGGGGACCGCAAGGCCUCACGCUUUCGGAGCGGCCGAUGUCGGAUUAGCUAGUUGGCGGGGUAAAGGCCCACCAAGGCGACGAUCCGUAGCGGGUCUGAGAGGAUGAUCCGCCACACUGGGACUGAGACACGUCCCAGACUCCUACGGGAGGCAGCAGUGGGGAAUUUUGGACAAUGGGCGCAAGCCUGAUCCAGCCAUGCCGCGUGAGUGAAGAAGGCCUUCGGGUUGUAAAGCUCUUUCGGCGGGGAAGAAAUUGCUCAGGUUAAUACCUUGAGUAGAUGACGGUACCCGCAUAAGAAGCACCGGCUAACUACGUGCCAGCCGCCGCGGUAACAC